GACGAACGCUGGCGGCGUGCUUAACACAUGCAAGUCGAACGGAAAGGCCCUGCUUUUGUGGGGUGCUCGAGUGGCGAACGGGUGAGUAACACGUGAGUAACCUGCCCUUGACUUUGGGAUAACUUCAGGAAACUGGGGCUAAUACCGGAUAGGAGCUCCUGCUGCAUGGUGGGGGUUGGAAAGUUUCGGCGGUUGGGGAUGGACUCGCGGCUUAUCAGCUUGUUGGUGGGGUAGUGGCUUACCAAGGCUUUGACGGGUAGCCGGCCUGAGAGGGUGACCGGCCACAUUGGGACUGAGAUACGGCCCAGACUCCUACGGGAGGCAGCAGUGGGGAAUAUUGCACAAUGGGCGGAAGCCUAAUGCAGCAACGCCGCGUGCGGGAGGACGGCCUUCGGGUUGUAAACCGCUUUCGCCUGUGACGAAGCGUGAGUGACGGUAAUGGGUAAAGAAGCACCGGCUAACUACGU
rnacentral:rRNA from 1 species